rnacentral:rRNA from 1 species
UACGGAGGGAGCUAGCGUUGUUCGGAAUCACUGGGCGUAAAGGGUGCGUAGGCGGGUUUUUAAGUCAGGGGUGAAAUCCUGGAGCUCAACUCCAGAACUGCCUUUGAUACUGAAGAUCUUGAGUCCGGGAGAGGUGAGUGGAACUGCGAGUGUAGAGGUGAAAUUCGUAGAUAUUCGCAAGAACACCAGUGGCGAAGGCGGCUUCCUGGCCUGCAACUGACGCUGAGACGCGAAAGCGUGGGGAGCGAACCGG